CCUGGUUGAUCGCUGCCAGUAGUCAUAUGCUUGUCUCAAAGAUUAAGCCAUGCAUGUGUAAGUAUGAACUAAUUCAGACUGUGAAACUGCGAAUGGCUCAUUAAUCAGUUAUAGUUUGUUUGAUGGUACCGUGCUACUCGGAUAACCGUAGUAAAUUCUAGAGCUAAUACGUGCAACAAACCCCGAUUCUGGAAGGGAUGCAUUUAUUAGAUAAAAGGUCGACGCGGGCUUACGCCCGUUGCUCUGAUGAUUCAUAGAUAACUCGACGGAUCGCACGGCCAACGUGCCGGCGACGCAUCAUUCAAAUUUCUGCCCUAUCAACUUUCGAUGGUAGCAUAGAGGCCUACCAAUGGUGGUGACGGGUGACGGAGAAUUAGGGUUCGAUUCCGGAGAGGGAGCCUGGAGAAACGGCUACCACAUCCAGGAAGGCAGCAGGCGCGCAAAAUUACCCAAUCCUGACACGGGGAGGUAGUGACAUAAUACAAUACGGGCUCUUACGAGUCUGGUAAUUGGAAUGAGUCAUCUAAAUCCUUAACGAGGAUCCCAUUGGAGGGCAAGUCUGGUGCAGCAGCCAGCGGUAAUUCCAGCUCCAAUAGCGUUAUUUAGUUGUUGCAGUUAAAAAGCUCGUAGUUGGACCUUGGGAUGGGUCGAUCGGUCCGCCUUUGGUGUGCAUCGGUCGCCUCGUCCUUCUACCGGCGAUGCGCUCCUGGCCUUAGUUGACGCGGGUCGUGCCUCCGGUGCUGUUAGCUUUGAAGAAACUUUUAGAGUGCUCAAAAGCAGCCUACGCUCUGAUACAUUAGCAUGGGAUAACUCAUAGAUUUCGAUCCUAUUGUGUUGGCCUUCGGGAUCGGAGUAAUGAUUAACGGGACACUGUCGGGGGCAUUCGUAUUUCAUAGUCAGAGGUGAAAUUCUUGGAUUUAUGAAAGAAGAACAAUUGCGAAAGCAUUUGCCAAGGUGUUUUCAUUAAUAAGAACGAAAGUUGGGGGCUCGCAAGAAGAUCAGAUACGUCCUAGUCUCAACCUAAACGAUGCCGACCAGGGAUCGGCGGAUAGUUGCUUUAGGACUCGCGGCACCUUUAUGAGAAAUCAAGUCUUUGGGUUCCGGGGGAGUAUGGUCGCAAGGCUGAACUUAAAGAAUAUUUGACGGAAAGCACCCGUGAGUGGAGCUGCGGCUUAAUUUGACUCUAACCGGGGAAACUUACCGGUCCAGACAUAGUAAGAUUGACAGACUGAUAGCUCUUUCUUUGAUUCUAUGGGGUGGUGCAUGGCCGUUCUUAGUUGGUGGAGCGAUUUGUCUGUUAUUUCCGUUAACGACGAGACCUCAGCCUCUGCUAACUAGCUAUGCGGAGGUGAUCCGCCGUGGCGCAGCUUCCUUAGAGGGACUAUGGCUUCUAGGCAAGGAAGUUUGAGGCAUACAGGUCUGUGAUGCCUUAGAUGUUCUGGCCGCCACGCGCGACUUACACUGAUGUAUUCAAGAGUUAUAGCCUUGGCCGACAGGCCGGGUAUCUUUGAAAUUCAUCGUGUGAGGGAUAGAUCAUUGCAAUUGUUGGUCUUCAACGAGAAUUUCCUAGUAAGCGCGAGUCAUCAGCUCGCGUUGACUACAUCCUGCCUUUGUACACCGCCGCGUCGCUCCUCUACCGAUUGAAUGUCGGUGAGUGUUGGAUCGCUGCCGACAGUGUGGCGUUCGCCGCCGGCGACGUCGGCGAGAAGUCCACUGAACCUUAUAUUUAGAGGAAGGAGAAGUCGUAACAAGGUUUCCCGUAGGUGAACCUGCGAAGG
rnacentral:rRNA from 1 species